UAGGUCACAAUUUACUCAUCGAUUACAAAAACAAAAAGUCCUUUGAUCAGAAAUCACAAAAUUUAUAAGUCAAAAUUUAUUUAACGAUCAUAAAUUAUUAAAUUAAUUGGUCACAUGUUAUUUCUCAAUUAAAACUUACUAAAUUGUGAGUCAUGAUCACAUUUUUUGGUUACAUAUUAUAUAUUGGUCACAAUCAACAAUUUUAUUAGUUACAAACCACACUUGGUCCCACUCGAUCGUCGUCGCCGCCACCAACGCCACCCAUACCACAACAGUUUGCGAUCACCACCAUCGCCGCCAAUCGCGCCAGGUCCACCCCCAUACCACUUUUCCAACGCCAAAAGUCUACCACAAACAUCGCUAGAUCCACCUAUGCCACUGCAAACAAAAAACACCCCCAAAAACUAACAAAAUCCUAUUGUCUUCGCCAACGCCACCACCAUAUGAAUUGCCAUCUCCAAUGCCACCAUCACCGUCAAUACCUCACCACAAUCGUCGACACCAACACACCACAUCGCCGCCACCACAACCAUCCCAGAACCUCAACACCAUCAAAACAUAGAAAUCACUACCACCCAUCCAACAACCAAAAAAAUCAUCACCACUUCGAUCUGCCAUGUUCUAGGCUGCUUUCAACGCGAUUUACAGUCACGAUUUGCAUCGUUACAAUAGUGAUCUGGGCUACUGCAGCUAGAUCUGCAAAGUCUACGGCGGCGCUCACAAUGAUGAGAUAUAGAAAGAGAAGGAGAGGUGGAAUGAAGAUAAAUUUAGGGUUUGUGAGUAAGGUGUGGUAGAUAGGACCACGUUAAUAAGUUUUAUUUUAUAAUAUUUAAAAUUUUGAUUACAUCUGAUUUUUGGAUAAAAAGAAAAAGGUGUAACUUGUAAUUGUGAACAGAGAUAUUGAAAAAGCUUAACUGUUGUAAUUACACUUUCGUUUUAUUAGCUAUAUGUUUCUGGUUCUAGUAGAACACUAAAAAAG
rnacentral:lncRNA from 1 species